GCACGAUAGAUACCCUCGUUAGGCUUUUGAGCACAAGCAGCUGUAUCUAAACUGACUGAGUCAACGUAAAGAUAAAACAUAUCAAGAUCAUAACCAGAAACAUUCAUGUUAAAAGCAGCGGGACAUCCCUGUCUUUUUAGAUUUAACAUGGCACCAUUAUCACGAAACCGAAACUGAGCAGCUGGAUCCAGACAGUUGUAGGAAAUUUCCAGAAAAAACAAGUUUCCCCAACUGCCAUUUGAAUGUAU